rnacentral:tRNA from 1 species
GGGCGCAUAGCUCAGAGGUAGAGCACUACGUUGACAUCGUAGGGGUCGCAGGUCCGAUUCCUGCUGCGCCUACCA